rnacentral:rRNA from 1 species
UAAGUCCCGCAACGAGCGCAACCCUUGAUCUUAGUUGCCAGCAUUCAGUUGGGCACUCUAAGGUGACUGCCGGUGACAAACCGGAGGAAGGUGGGGAUGACGUCAAAUCAUCAUGCCCCUUAUGACCUGGGCUACACACGUGCUACAAUGGACGGUACAAAGGGCUGCAAACCCGCGAGGGGGAGCCAAUCCCAGAAAACCGUUCUCAGUUCGGAUUGCAGGCUGCAACUCGCCUGCAUGAAGCCGGAAUCGCUAGUAAUCGCGGAUCAGCAUGCCGCGGUGAAUACGUUCCCGGGCCUU